ACUAUUACUGCUAGAUUGUCAUGCAUCAAAGUAAACAAAUUCAUCAAUCUCUCCUUUCUGGCUGAUUUUUCUAUAAAGUAGUUCUGUAGAAGGAACAUGGGCAUGGGCAAGUCUCAUCUGUUAGUAUGCUUUAUGGCAUUCUUAUCUGGCAUUUUGGCUCAAAAACGAGAAAUCACUCUGCCUGACCUUCCAGUCAGCAGGAGAUACUAAUGUUUUGCUCACCAUCGCCAUAUUGGUGUGAUGUGACAUGAAAACUAUUAAUACUAUGGCUUAAAUGUUUAUGCACAUGUAUAAAUGUGGAUUUGGCAUAUACUUUGUGUUGCUAAAAUCCAUAUUAAUAAAGUUGCAAGCCAAAAUCGCAGCAUAAGAUUUCAUAUUUUUAUUCACAACUAUAGGCAUUUAUGCAUUCCAAGGGUUUUUGUGGGGGAGAAAUUUUAGCAAAGUCCUUAAAGGUGUUCUCUAGCUAGAUUCUAGAUUGUGCAUUCAGCAAGUAUCUUAGGUAUCUUGGUAUUUAAAGGUAUGUUUCAGUAGGGGUGCGUCACAGAGAAAACCAUCACAGCAUACUUGACAGCGUCUAGUUUUAGUAUAUAAAGGCGGUAACACACACUCACACCUCUCAGAUUGCUCUUCAGAAGGCAGUACGACAGCUGUAAAGAGAUUGGAUAUUUACACUUUUCCUCUUCAAAAGAUAAAAGUGUGUAAUGACAUGAUUCAUCUAGAAAACUGCAUAACUGUCAGAAACCACAGACAAUCGGAACACCAGCAGCACUGGAGGCCGGAAAUAAAUAAAAAACAAGCGGCUCGGGAGAGAAAUACAGCCAGACUUGUGAGAUGGAACAGUAUGGACAGAGUAAAACCAGACUUGAAAGACAAUCCUGAUGAGUGUCCAAAGGUUCAUUCUGCUGUCAAAUCUAAGACCAUCACAUCAGGAAGAAAAACCAAAAAGAACAAAAAA